rnacentral:lncRNA from 1 species
CGAAAUUCCAACAAGAUUUGAAAUAAAACAGGCCAUAAAUAUAGCAGCGCAACAACCAUCAGGUUUGAUCAUGUAAAUUUCAGCAAAUAAGCUCUAGGGAUUAAUAAAACUGCAUCUGUCCAACAUAACAGGCACACAUUAGUUAUAAAGUGGCCUCCAACAUAACCCUUAACAAUCCAACAUCAGUUCAACCAUCACAGCAUAGUUCAGAGUUUAAAUAGUCCGGUACAGCCAACAGACUUAAAGUAUUACACAUAGAAACAACAGCUCCAAAAGACAACUAUCAAAGCAUGACAUUGAAACAGCAACUCCAAGCUUGCCUACAUCCAAAAGCUUCUUGAUAUCCUUGGUUAUUCUUCAAGUGUCAUUUCUGGUUUAGAAAAAACAGAGGAAGGGUCAGGAUGGAGGUAGUUCUGCAUCAGAAUUAUUUUCUGUCACUUUGUGCAUUAAAAAUAAAAUGGACUAACAUGACAAGUGGCUAGUAGAACAAUAGUCAAAUUUAUGCAUGCUCAUGAAUCAAAUAACAAAUCUACUACAUCAAUAUAGUUUUUUAUUCACCAAAAAGCUUCAGGAGCAAAGGUUAAAUGCCUCCAUAUACUAGAAUAAUGAAUUCUAGUUUACGGUUUUUACUCCAGCACAACAAAACUCUAAGGAUACAAAGAAAGCAACAUAGACACAAACAGCCCACUGUUGGCUUGGACUAGCCAUUUGUUAAUUGUCAUACAAAAGGAAAAUCCACGAUGAAAAAUGUGAAUCAAAAUUCAUGCAUAAGCUCAAACAUAUUGCAGGACAAAUACAGUGGUUAACAUACCUAUAAAACAGCAGCUCCAAGCUUGCAUACAUCCAAAAGCUUCUUGAUAUCCUUAGUUCUUCAUGUGGCAUUUCUAGUUCGUAUAGAGAAAACAAAGAAAGGAUCAGGAUAGAUGUAGUUCAACAUCAGAAUUUUCUUCUUCCACUUUGUGCAUAAUGAAAUAAAAUGGACUAACAGGGAGGUGUCUAGUGCAACAAUAGUCAAGUGGUAACAUUUCAGGACAACAUAAAUACAUUGCUUAACAUGACAAGAAGGCUAGGCAUGGAUAGAAAGUUUAUACAUCUAAGAAACUAGCAGCUCCAAGUAACUAAAAUUUUCUAAGCAAUUAUCAUGAAUCAUAAAACACUAGAAAGAAGAUACUUGCCAGCAGAUUUCUAAGCAGCGGGUAUAGGCUGUUGACGCCCUUGGUCUUCUUCUUGACAAGCCGUACAGAUCUACGGGUCUCCAAAUUGCCAUCUGUUGGUGGUGUGUCCUUUUCCACUUGAAUUUGCGUCUCUUUUUCCACUUGCAUUUGCGCCUCUUGCUGAUCAUGCAUGGAUGGAGCAUCUUCCCCAUCCUCACUCACCCCAUCAUUAUCCUCACUCUCACUAUCAACAAAUACUUUCUCUUCAAAAUCAAUGACAAAAGAACAGCGGUCAGUUAUGAAGAGUAGGUCACUAGGGAAGCAACCCUUGCUUACUUGGGUGUCCUCAUAUGAAUGAUAAACAAAACCAGUACAGCUUAAUGCUCUAGUUUAGAUACUAAGGAAUAAGUAAUUUAAAUACAACCCGAUGCUCUAGUUUGACAAAAAGACAAGUCAAAAACUAUAAUCUAUUCUUGAGAAAGAUACUGCGAAGCUUAGUUCUAGAACCAUCACUUAAUGGUACCGCUGAACAUUGAAAUUAACCAUCGGUCAACAUCUACUUAGUUAAAUACACAACAUAACUGAAUUUUUAUUGGACGUACUGUAGAUCUAAAUAAAUUAUCAAUGCAAACAUGAGAUGCUUCUGCAAACAUCCAAGCCAGUGGUUGGAGGUGAUGAAAAAAACUUUAAUAUUGCACACAAGCAUCAUCUCAACAGCUCAAAAACAAGCAC